UACGGAGGGUGCAAGCGUUAUCCGGAUUCACUGGGCGUAAAGGGUGCGUAGGCGGUCGGGUAAGUCUGAUGUGAAAUCUCACAGCUUAACUGUGAAACUGCAUUGGAUACUAUCCGACUCGAGGAAUGGAGGGGAGACUGGAAUUCUCGGUGUAGCAGUGAAAUGCGUAGAUAUCGAGAGGAACACCAGUGGCGAAGGCGAGUCUCUGGACAUUUCCUGACGCUGAGGCACGAAAGCCAGGGGAGCAAACGGG
rnacentral:rRNA from 1 species